ACAGUCCUUCUGACUCUCAGCCCAGAAUGUGGGGGCCAGGGGAGCUCAGAGGAGAAAGUGUUCUGAAUGCAAUUUGUAACAUUUUUAGGCCUUCGCAGAAGUGUGGCUUUAUGUCCUCUUAAAACACACGUGGAAGGGCGUAGAGAGAGUGGAAGUCAUGGAAGGACUGUCUGAUGCUGAGCAGGGUUGAGGGGUGCAGGCAGCCCACCCUUGUGAUGGCUGUCACUGCCACGUGCACACUGUCACUGACCAUCAACACUGAUUUUCUUCUCUCCCCCAUAGAAACACCGACCAAGACUCACCGCUGCCAGCUGAACCAAGGUGGAGGCUGAAACCAUCCUUCCGGCCUAGGUGGGAGUGGCCUUCUUUUAUAUGUGACUACUGUAUUCACCGAGGGGGUUCAAGACAGUGUGUUUCUUCUAAAACAGUGGUUCACCAAGCGUGGUCGCUGCACCACCAGCAGCAGCAAUGCCUGGGAACUUGCUACGAAUGCAGAAUCUCGGGGCAGCGUCCGGCACUGUGUGUCUGAACAAGUUCUAGGUGCUUCUGGUGCACACUCAGGUGUGAGAACCACUGCUCUCCACGGGCCACCUCCUCUCGUCUGCUCCACAGCCCACACCGGGCCAGGCAAGUGUCGCCACACAGAUUUUAUGAUUCAGAACACCCAGAUCCUCAGGUUCGGUGAGUGGCCCAAGGGCCACUCUGACUCCCCAGGGCCCUGCUGCUGUCCACGGGCUGUUCUCGUCACCAACUUUACUGAAGUCCCGUGGCAGCAGGGAAGGCAGAGCAGCAGGGGUGAGUGGAACCUGAGACGAGCUGCUGCAGAGACCAGGUGGCCUGACCUUCUCACAGGUGCUAAUCUCCUGUGAUUGGCAAGAGACGACCUUUGACACAUAAGCAGCAUCUAAUACAGUUUAGGUCUUCAGGUGUGCCAAAAAGCGGAGAAGCAAACUGCAGCUGGAGUGAAAUAUCUUGACAGCUUUCCACCCUCUUCCAUCACCGGGAGUCUAAAUGCCUGCUUCCCUCCACCCUCAAGAAGCUUCUGUACAGAGAAUGGCCAAGACUCAAACCUCCGGGCAGAGGCUGUGGACGUUUACAAGGAGCUGGAGAAUGUGGACUUGCUAACUUCUGGGGGACGUGGGGACUUGGGUAGAAUGAGCUUUAAAAAGAAGAGGGGAGUGAUUGGGCUGGCAUGAGGUACAGAAGGGGUGUGUAUGGGCUACCCUCCUUUGUGUCACAGAAUACCCACUGAGGGACACUGUCGCAGUCUGGGCAGUGAGACCCACACUCCUGAUAUCCUAGCUCAGUUGCAGAGAAUGAGUUCUCCCAGCCUGGGAUGCACAAUGCCGCCGUUACCAUCGCUACUGCUUGCUGCUAUUGCAGCUGCUGGGCUGCGAGGGGUGGCAGAGACGUCGAGCGAGACUCCGAGAUUCCUGCCUUAGCAUUCUUGGUGAGAAACAUGUGAGCAGGAGGACGAGGAGGUUUGGGGGAGGAAGAUAGGGGCGCUCAGCUGAGUUCCAGGCAUCUGUGGGCCGGCCAGGUGACAGGGCCAGGGCCAGAGGCCCCAGGCAUAAGGCUUGAAGGUCAGAGAGGGUCUGGGCUAGGGAAAGGUGGCUGUGCAUCUCCAGCAGCAGGUGGCAGCUGAUGAGGCCCUGGGGUGUGGAGAGGAAGAAGACAGGAUCGGAGCCCAGGGGCAGCACUGGUCAGGGGUGUGCCCACGACGAGGGCGCUGGGAGGAGCCUGAGAAGCAGCCGAGCCGGGGGAGGCGCAGGAGAGGGCGAGGGUGCUCGAGAGGGGAGAAGGCUCCCACGGGAACCGCAGGGCUGCUGGGCCGCCUGGAGCAGGGCCAGGGGGCCAGGGAUCUACUGAUAAUUCCUCUUGUCAGGCGCAAUUCCACUGGGAUGGGGAAUCUCCAGGCCAGGCUGCCGUGCAUCGAGCAGAGACUAGUAAGUGAGAAAAAUAGGGAUGAUGUCAGAAGCUUGACAAUAAGGGGAGGACAAAAAGCAGGACAGUGGCGAGAGGAGGAAAGCUGGGCGUGGGGGUGUUGUUCUUAGUGUGGAGAAGCGUGGAAACAUACACAAAUCUGCUGAAGGAAGGUGUGGGGAGAGAAAGUUAAAGAUGCAGGGGAGAGGGAGGGGAUCUCUGACUGAGAAAGCAGAAGGGACUGGACAAAGCACAGCUCAGGGGCUACCCUUAGUCCAAAAGGGGACAGCCCUUCUGCAGACAGAGCCCUCUGUAGGCUGGACAGGAAGUGAAAAUAGGAGGGGACAGACAGAUGGCACAAUUUAAAGCGUCAAAGCCUGCAUGUCUCUGUGGAGUGCGAGGUCAGCUGCAGGUGGAAUGUGGCCAGAGAGCAGCGUGAGCAUUGCAGAGUUCCAGGAAAAGAAAUUUUGGACUAUAGCUGAUUGCAAAUGCUUCCAGAGAAGAAUUUAAAAGAAUAACUGUGGAUGGCAAAAACCCAGAACAGCCACGGUCAAAAAUCUGAUAUUCUUCACGAGCAUAAUUUUUAGUGGCUGUGCACACCCCAUACAGCUGUUUCUCUACACAUUUUGGAGCCCGUUGCAGCUCACACCAAGGUGUGGGCAGUGCUGCCUCCACUCUCGUCAUCUCCUUAGCCGCCAGGGCCUGAUCCCAGCAGGGGAUAGUGGCACCUUAAGACCCAGCAGGAAGACAAGGUCUGCGUUCAGACGACUUGGGUGCCAGGUCGCACUGACCCCUCACGAGGACAGGGGAGCCCUUGGCCUCCAAGCUUUUGUUCCUCUUCUUUGAAACAUGAUAACAACAACCAGACUUGCCUCACGUGGCAACCAUGAGUUUAAAUGAGGUGCUGGCUCCGAGGCUGCUGUGUGAACUGCCCAGUGUUGUCCAAACCUUGGUUUAUUGAAUUUAUCAGAACACUUCAGAUGCCAGCAACAGGAAAUCCAGCUCAACAAAACUUAAACCAUAAAGGGAAUUUAUUGCUCAAGAACUGCAAAGUCCAGAUGCAAUGGCCCAGUGGGACCCAGAGCCUGAAGGAUGUGGCCACAGACCUCGGGAGCUCUGUCCCACACUCACACUCCUCUGGUGUCCACGUCCUGGGCCAGAUUCUCUCCAGGACUCCCCAGAGCCAGACACGGAGGGAGUAAACCGUCCUGUCCCUCCAGCAGAGGGCCUGAGUGGCCAGGCCUGGGCCCGUGCCCUCCUGCCCUGGUGGGCUCCUAACCUGAGAGUGGUGAGGGCUGGUACCCCAAAGGAAGGUCAGAGUGCUUUCACCAGAAGAGGGACAGAUUUGAGGAGGGGCAGACAGCAGAUGCCCAGCUCGUUGACCCCUGUUCCUACUGCUGUAGCUGGAGGGGCGGUUCUCAGAGCUGGUGCGGCCAGGCGCCCUGCGUGGUGUAGUCUCCACACCCCGGCGUGAGAGGGCCACGGGCUCGCUGUCCUCCAGUCAGAAUCCUCCCUAGUCCUCCCCUCGGCCUCCUCUCCUGCCACCUGCACAGAGAGCAGGAGGGUGUCACUGUGAGGAAGAAGAGAGCUAAGCGAUGGAAAUUCAGUAUGAAGAAUGAGUUUGAGUGUCAUAGAGAAAAAUAUCCAGAAAUGCUCGAAUCCACUGAACUUAGUAACUAUACCACUGGCAGUCGGUCCUAAGGCAAAGAACUUUCUGCAAAAAGUUAUCCAUCAGGUGACUAUCUGUAAAAGAUGAAAUUUGGAGAGACCCUCGACAUUCAACAGCAGAGGAGGGUUUAAAUCACUCCUGGUCGCCCACGUAGCCAUUCAAGAGAUAGUGAAGAAGACCCCUCUAGACACGGAACAAUGCUCAUUGUGAAAGGUGGGAUACUGAGGGUACACCAUGAUUUUUCUAACUUAAAAACAUGCUUAUGGGAGAAAAUUAGAAAAAUUAGAAAAUUGGGAAAAAUUUAAAUAGUGGUGUGAAAUGAAAACUGAAUUAAACAAAUAUUUUAUUUCUCCCAGUAGAGUUAAAACACAGUACAUUAUUUUCGAGAGAGUAGAGUGUAAAGAUUAACAAGCAGUUUCAGAACAAGUAUCGUGGCAGAAAGACAAGCUGUGCUUCUCUGUGUGCUUGUCAAUGUCGAGAUGGCAGGACCCACUGGGUCCCCAGCCCAGCACAGGACUGAGGGCCUUACAGGUGCUGGCUGGCUGUGCGUUGAGUGACCCUGGCAGGAUCCAGAGGUGGGGCUGGGAACCCUGCUGCCCAGGAGUGGCUGACUAUCAUGCAGGAGUGGCGAUGAGCUGGCACACCCGAGGACGAGGACCGGGACGGCUGUGAUAAGCACCCCUGCAGGUGGAGGGUACGGCCUGAGCCCAGGUGGGUGGAGUGCAGAUAGGGCCAGGCUGGAGCACCCACCCCCAGGGAGGAGGCUGCUGGGGGAGUGGACAGGGGAGGGUGUGGGGUGAGGCCUGUUGGGGUUUUUUCUUUUCGU